UUCCCAGUGGUCUAAUGGUUAGGAUUUAGUACUGUCACUGCUAUGACCUGGGUUCGAUCCCUGGUUGGGAAC
rfam:Ovis aries breed Texel chromosome 3, whole genome shotgun sequence.